rnacentral:rRNA from 1 species
CAGCAGCCACGGGAAUACGUAGGGCGCAAGCGUUAUCCGGAAUUAUUGGGCGUAAAGAGCUCGUAGGCGGUUUGUCGCGUCUGCCGUGAAAGUCCGGGGCUCAACCCCGGAUCUGCGGUGGGUACGGGCAGACUAGAGUGAUGUAGGGGAGACUGGAAUUCCUGGUGUAGCGGUGAAAUGCGCAGAUAUCAGGAGGAACACCGAUGGCGAAGGCAGGUCUCUGGGCAUUAACUGACGCUGAGGAGCGAAAGCAUGGGGAGCGAACAGGAUUAGAUACCCGUGUAGUCCCUGUCUCUUAUAC